rnacentral:tRNA from 1 species
AAUGAGAUAAGUUUUCACUUACAAUGAAAAAAACCCGUAGGGCGUUUUUAUAUUGUUAGAGUUUUACUUA